GAAGAAGAUUUGGUGUUGAUAGAGGAGGCAACAUCUUCAAGGCAAAACCUUAGACCUCAUUCAACAUCAUCCAAUGUUGCAAUCACCCUCAGGAGGCACUUGAAGACCAGUGUCCAAUAUGCACAGGAACAUUUCCAGUGUCAGAAGUAGAACUGCCAUGCCAGCUUUUGUGGAGAAAGACUCUCCAAGGAAGGUGAUUUUCAAGGGAUUGACAGGGCUUCCUGUUUUUUGACGUUUCCACAACUUUAGACAUGUUAUCUCGUGACAGAUUGUCUGUGCUGCUGCAUGACGAAUCGCAUCCUCCUCACUGUAAAAAUAAAUAAAUAAAAUUAUAUAUAUGUAUAUAAAAACAAUAAAGCAACAUUUUUCAG
rnacentral:lncRNA from 1 species